rnacentral:RNase_P_RNA from 1 species
GAAGCACGCUGGACCGCCGCUGGUGCAAGUCUCGAAAGAGCGCACUGGAGGAACGUCCGGACUGCACAGGACAGCGCAGGAGCUAACGGCUCUCCACCGCGAGGUGAGGAUCAGAGCAACAGAGACGAGUCGGCCGGGGCGACCCGGCCGGGUGAAACGGGCAAUCUCUGCGCGCAGCAACACCAAGUAGGCCAACGUCGAUGUGGUUCCGCAGAGUUGGCGGGUAGGUGGCACCGAGCCGUCUGGCGACAGACGGCCCAGAGUAAUGGCGGUCACGCUGAGGCGCUCGCAAGAGCAUCUCAGUGCACAGAAUCCGGCUUAUAGGCGCGCUUCACAC